rnacentral:rRNA from 1 species
AGUGAACGCUGGCGGUAGGCCUAACACAUGCAAGUCGAACGGCAGCACAGUAAGAGCCUGCUCUUACGGGUGGCGAGUGGCGGGCGGGUGAGGAAUACAUAGGAAUCUACUUUUUCGUGGGGGAUAACGUAGGGAAACUUACGCUAAUACCGAAUACGACCUACGGGAGAAAGCAGGGGAUCUUCGGACCUUGCGCGAUUGAAUGAGACGAUGUCGGAUUAGCUAGUUGGCGGGGUAAAGGCCCACCAAGGCGACGAUCCGUAGCUGGUCUGAGAGGAUGAUCAGCCACACUGGAACUGAGACACGGUCCAGACUCCUACGGGAGGCAGCAGUGGGGAAUAUUGGACAAUGGGCGCAAGCCUGAUCCAGCCAUACCGCGUGGGUGAAGAAGGCCUUCGGGUUGUAAAGCCCUUUUGUUGGGAAAGAAAAGCAGCAGGUUAAUACCCCGCUGUUCUGACGGUACCCAAAGAAUAAGCACCGGCUAACUUCGUG